GAACUGCGCGAACGUUAUUCGGAAUCACUGGGCUUAAAGGGUGCGUAGGCGGCAAUGUAGGUGGGGUGUGAAAUCCCUCGGCUCAACCGAGGAACUGCGCUCCAAACCACAUUGCUUGAGGAAGUCAGAGGUAAGCGGAACUGAUGGUGGAGCGGUGAAAUGCGUUGAUAUUAUCAGGAACACCGGUGGCGAAAGCGGCUUACUGGGACUUUUCUGACGCUGAGGCACGAAAGCUAGGGGAGCGAACGGGGGAUUAGACACCCCGGUAGUCCUAGCUGUAAACGAUGAGCACUAGCCCCGUGGGGGACCCCUCACAUCCCUCUCGGGCGUAGCGAAAGUGUUAAGUGCUCCGCCUGGGGAGUAUGGUCGCAAGGCUG
rnacentral:rRNA from 1 species